rnacentral:tRNA from 1 species
GGGAUGGCUGAGAUAAGCAUUAGAUUGUAGCUCUAAUUACGGGAUAUUUUCUCCCUCUUA